rnacentral:lncRNA from 1 species
CUUUUAUCAAAAUAAAAAUAUGGACAAAACUAAACUUACAAAAACAAAACAAAAAAACAAAAUACAACAUAUCAUUACAAAUACCAUCUAGUAUCUUUAAAUUCCUUAUUUUCAAAGUCGAAGAUAAUUCAACCAUUGAUCUCCCUCUAGCCAUUGUUACACUUUAAAGAUCUCAAUAUCCCAAAGGUGCUAAAAUAGCUCUGAAGAACGUUGAGAUCUGGAGAAUGAUCCUAAUCAGACGCGAUGAGGUGGGAUCUAGUGACUCCAGCAACCAAACCAAAUAGGAAAAGAAUAGAAAAAGACAAAAAGGAAAUAGAAAUAGGGAAGGAAAAACGAAUGGCUGUCAAAAUAGUGUUGCAUCUAUGCACCACCCUAGACCGCUACAAAGUCCAUUCGUUGCAGAAACUUUCAGUGCCUCUACUCAACAUUGACCCUUCUCAAAAACAUGUCCAACAAUGAAGGAUGGAGGAGACAAGCCACAAGGCUCAGUCAAGCUCCUUAUGAGUGGGAACGUCGCAUGAUCUCACUAGGCUUCCAAACGCUCUCACCAUCGAAGUCACCUUUAGAGUCACUUCCAUAUUGUUCCUUAAAGAAGGAAGGUUAUUAUGCUAGUGAGAAGGGAAGGAAAAUAUUGAAGAGACGAGAAGGGUAAAAAGAAAUAGGGAGAGGUAGCCAAUCACCGAC